CCUGGGCCCUGGCCCAUCUCGCUCCCAACGGUCGAACUCCGUCGCUCGUCUUCCUCCUCGACCGAGCGCCGCCAUCCAUCCCGCUGCCGAGCGCCCCAACCCCGUCGCUCCGUCGCUCGUAUUCCUCCUCGCGCGAGCGCCCCAACCCCGUCGCUCGUCUUCCUCCUCGAGCGAGCGCCGCCACCCGUCCCGCUGCCGAGCGCCCCAGCCCCCUCGCUCCAUCGAUCGCUCGUCUUCCUCCUCGCGCGAGCGCCUCCACCGCAGGCAUCUAUCCCCGCUUCAAUUCUCUCGUUCCCGACCGUUUCUCCUCCCAUCACCCCACCAACAGAUCCCCGCUUCAUCUCCUUAAUCUUCCCCAAUUCGUGACUGAGGCAAAAAUCAAGGCCGCCCUACCUUGCCCUACCGAGUCCUCCGCCCUUGACUGUGAACCGGGUUGUCCCCUUAUUUAUAAUGUCGUGUGAUGUGUCGAAUACUACUUACGUUCUCCCUGUGCGAAUUCGGAUGUAGCAGUCUUGUAGCCCUUCAGCGAGCUCGGUUUUCUCCCUCCAAAGUUCCAACUCAGCUUUUCCCUUCAGCGACCGAGAUGUUUUCGAACAAUAAUGAUACUUUUACCAUGUUUAUAUAUGCUUAAUUUUAUUGUUCCGUUGCAACCUCGCACAGGCAUUGUACCAGUUCUUGUAAAAUUCCUACGUUCAUUUUUCACCAUCCGAAGACAACUCUACCAAUAUUCUUGUGUUUUGAAAUCCUGUAGGAAUUCUUGUCUGGAACCUUAUCAUGUUAUAACCUUCCAACCGGGACAUAUGUCUGAAGAUUGCUCUGCAGGUAGCAAAUAAGCUAUUUCCCAUGGCAAUCAUUUCUAAAAGGAUUGAAGAUUUUGCAAAUGAAAAUUUUGAUUCAGUGCUGGAAGUGAUUCCAGCUACUGAAUCUGCCAAAGCUGCUGAAAUGGCUACAUCUGAAGUUCACGAGAAUGUGGAUUGUAUCUUACUGCCAGAAGCAUUCCCUUCUCCGGUGUGUAUUUGCAAUAUAUGGUAGUUUACCACAGGGGGCCAAACAGUUCACAGACAAGUACCUAUUCUGAUUCGCACGAUAAGAUCCUCUCCUGAUCUUCUUGGGAUCAUCUCAGAUCCACCAGCUGACAGUCGGGACCUCCUCAGGCAGGUUUUACAAACUCCCACUGAUGGAGCAGUGCCAUCUCAAGAUCUGAUUUCCUCCAUAAAGAACUUUCUCUGUACCCGAGACCCAGGUUUUGGAUGCAUGUGCUGCUUGCUUUGAGCAAAGGACAAUGUUCACUCAGCAAGUUUUGGCAAAAGCUCUAAAUCAAUUGGCGGGGUCACGGUAUCUCAAAACCGGUGGUAGCCCACGUAAACGGGCAAAACGGUGAAUUUUCUGCACUGCCCGAAACUGCACGAAAAUGUGUACCCGGAGUCACGGUAUCGUGAAAUUGUCAAGGAGCCCAAAUAACGUGUGUUAUAGCCCACUAAAACGGCCAAACGGAGAAUUUUCUGCACUAGCCCGAAACUGCUCAAAAACGUGUACCUGGCAUGACGGUAUCGUGAAAUUGUCCGGGAACCCAAAAAAUGUGUUUUAUAGCCCACGAACACGGCCAAAGCGGUGAAUUUUCUUCACCGAAAACGUGUAUCCGUGGUCACGGUAUCGUGAAAUCGGUUGGGAACCCAAAAGCCCACGAAAAUGGUGAAAACGGUGAAUUUUCUGCACUGGCCCGAAACUGCCCGAAAACGUAUACC